rnacentral:rRNA from 1 species
UCCCUACGGGGGGCAGCAGGCGCGAAAACUUUACAAUGCAGGAAACUGUGAUAAGGGAACCCCGAGUGCCCGUAUACNNGCGGGCUGUCCAGGUGUUUAAAACGCAUCUGAAGAAAGGGCCGGGCAAGACCGGUGCCAGCCGCCGCGGUAAUACCGGCGGCUCGAGUGGUGGCCACUAUUAUUGGGCUUAAAGCGUCCGUAGCUGGACUCUUAAGUCUCUUGGGAAAUCCGCCGGCUUAACCGACGGGCGUCUAAGAGAUACUGGGAGUCUAGGGACCGGGAGAGGUGAGAGGUACUCCGGGGGUAGGAGUGAAAUCCUGUAAUCC